rnacentral:rRNA from 1 species
GCAUCACCAGUAUUAGAGGCACCGCCUGCCCAGUGACACUGUUUAACGGCCGCGGUACCCUAACCGUGCAAAGGUAGCAUAAUCACUUGUUCCUUAAAUAGGGACCUGUAUGAAUGGCUCCACGAGGGUUCAGCUGUCUCUUACUUUUAACCAGUGAAAUUGACCUGCCCGUGAAGAGGCGGGCAUGUACACAGAAGACGAGAAGACCCUAUGGAGCUUUAAUAUUAAUGCAAACAAGUACCUAACAAACCCACAGGUCCUAAACUACCAAACCUGCAUUAAAAAUUCGGUUGGGGCGACCUCGGAGCAGAACCCAACCUCCGAGCAUAAGACCACCCGUCUUAACCAAGAGCAACACCUCGACGUACUAACACUAACCAGACCCAAUAUAAUUGACCAAUGGAACAAGUUACCCUAGGGAUAACAGCGCAAUCUCCUUCUAGAGUCCAUAUCGACAAGGAGGUUUACGACCUCGAUGUUGGAUCAGGACACCCUAAUGGUGCAGCCGCUAUUAAGGGUUCGUUUGUUC